rnacentral:tRNA from 1 species
CGGCCCCGCUGGUCGGCGUCGAGCACCUGCUCAGCGGCAGCGGUCGGUGAGCCGGGGCCGGCUCGCCGCCACGCUCGGCUCGUGGCGGGCCGC